UACAGGGGGGGGCAAGCGUUGUUCGGAAUUACUGGGCGUAAAGGGCCAGUAGGCGGCCAACUAAGUCCGACGUGAAAUCCCCAGGCUUAACCUGGGAACUGCGUCGGAUACUGGAUGGCUUGAAUUCGGGAGAGGGAUGCAGAAUUCCAGGUGUAGCGGUGAAAUGCGUAGAUAUCUGGAGGAACACCGGUGGCGAAGGCGGCAUCCUGGACCAACACUGACGCUGAGUGAGCGAAAGCCAGGGGAGCAAACGGG
rnacentral:rRNA from 1 species